rnacentral:rRNA from 1 species
UACGAAGGGGGCUAGCGUUGCUCGGAUUGACUGGGCGUAAAGGGCGCGUAGGCGGUUUGUACAGUCAGACGUGAAAUUCCCGGGCUCAACCUGGGGGCUGCGUUUGAUACGUGCAGACUUGAGUUCGGAAGAGGGUCGUGGAAUUCCCAGUGUAGAGGUGAAAUUCGUAGAUAUUCGCAAGAACACCAGUGGCGAAGGCGGCUCACUGGCCCGAUACUGACGCUGAGGCACGAAAGCGUGGGGAGCAAACAGG